rnacentral:rRNA from 1 species
GAUGAACGCUGGCGGCGUGCCUAACACAUGCAAGUCGAACGAAGCACCUUACCUGAUUCUUCGGAUGAAAGUUUGGUGACUGAGUGGCGGACGGGUGAGUAACGCGUGGGUAACCUGCCCUGUACAGGGGGAUAACAGCUGGAAACGGCUGCUAAUACCGCAUAAGCGCACGAGGAGACAUCUCCUUGUGUGAAAAACUCCGGUGGUACAGGAUGGGCCCGCGUCUGAUUAGCUGGUUGGCAGGGUAACGGCCUACCAAGGCAACGAUCAGUAGCCGGUCUGAGAGGAUGAACGGCCACAUUGGAACUGAGACACGGUCCAAACUCCUACGGAAGGCAGCAGUGGGGAAUAUUGCACAAUGGGGGAAACCCUGAUGCAGCAACGCCGCGUGAGUGAAGAAGUAUUUCGGUAUGUAAAGCUCUAUCAGCAGGGAAGAUAAUGACGGUACCUGACUAAGAAGCUCCGGCUAAAUACGUG